rnacentral:rRNA from 1 species
UACAGAGGGUGCGAGCGUUGUCCGGAAUCACUGGGCGUAAAGGGCGCGUAGGCGGUUCGUUAAGUCCUGUGUGAAAUCCCCCGGCUCAACUGGGGAACUGCACAGGAAACUAGCGGGCUUGAGUUCGGGAGAGGGAAGCGGAAUUCCGGGUGUAGCGGUGAAAUGCGUAGAUAUCUGGAGGAACACCGGUGGCGAAGGCGGCAUCCUGGACCGGUAUCGACGCUGAGGCGCGAAAGCCAGGGGAGCAAACGGG